UAUUUUUUCUCUAUAUUUAUGUUAAAAUAUGUUUUCUGUUUUUAUCACUGUGCAGCAAUCACUUCUUGCCUGAGCUAGAUCCAGAUGUACUUAAUGGUGGAAGAGUUCAGCUUGUGGCAAGACUUGUAAGCAGAAAAGACAUGGAUGUAGACCUUUAUUCCAUGACCAGUGGAAGUGCUUUGUCUGUGAACAGAGAAAAAAAAAAUCAGGCACACAGACACUCAGCGGGAUCUUCAAGUUGUUCAAUUAAGGGAAUACUUGCACCAAAGAUAACAAAUAUGAGACCUUCUAAGAAAGAACGUAUAUCAUUCCGAGACAAUCCUGUGCAACUCAGUGGUGGAUGGGGAAGUGGCAAAAAGAAGGAGAAAACAUCCAACUAAUCCUUCAAGUGUCAGCAUUCAAAACUUAUGGCAAACAGUUUGUAUUCAAGAGGUCUGUGGGUUUCUGGUCACGUUGCCAACUGGAUACCAAGUUUUAGAAUACUGUAUUUAAUUUCCCUUGUUAUACAUAUUUCACAAUUUUAUCUUAUUUUCCUUCUGUAAAGAACAGAUUCUUCAGGGGUGCCUGUUUUCAUGUAGAAUGGCUUCCAGAAAAAAAUUUAACUCUUGAAAUAUUGUAAUGGAAUUUGCAUAUCCUGUUUCUUCUUUAGUUUACAUUUUUUUCACACAUGUAUUCAAGAUGCUUUUUUGUUACCAAGAUAAAUUUUAAUAACAUACACAUAUGUAAGAGAUUACAGCCAUGUUUUAUUGAACAUUUUAAUGUAGUAUUAAUAAAUAAUGUUAAUAAACUUUUCUAUCAGGUUAUUAUAAUUGGGUAUUUCAAAGAUAAAUUGAUAUGAAAAGUAAUUCAACAUAAUAAAAAUGGCCUUUAAUUUGCAAAAUUUUUGUCAUUUUAAAUAGAUCAGGGAGUUAUAAGAAAAUAUACAUUCAGUUUAAAUAAAAUUAAAUAUAAAUUUAAAUAAUAAUUACCAAUUUAUAGAAUUGGAGACUUUCAUAUGUCUAUUACCCUUAUUUUUAAAAGGUACACAUUUAUUCUGGCUCUUUAACAUUAUUGUACUGACUCAAAACUACUCUAACAAUUUAAUUUUUGUCUUACCAAUUCCCUUAAAAUUAUUUUUAAAAUCUUUUAAAGCUCAAGCUCAUCAUUUUUUAGCUUUAAUAUUUUCUAAAAUUACAGCCCUUUUUAUUACUUUUACUAUUAUGUGGUUAAUUUUCUGUCAUAUCUUAACAAAUACAAUGUGCAGAAAACUUCAUUUACUUCUUAUGCUCUUUAGAAUCUUUUACUCUCUUCUCUGGAGCUUUUUUAACAAAGCUAAAUUCAUAGUUCUCCAGUAACUUUCCAUUGCUGUGUUGCUGUGUAAUAAGAUCCAGUGAACUGUAGUUUUUUCCCCUUGUUUUUCCUACUUCUUAUUGAAAUAUUUCAUCUGGAAUAUAGAAAUGACUAAACAGAUUUAGAGAUGCAUUAUGUAGUUUGUGCCCAUCAUCUACUUUUUGGGACCCUAUUCCAUUUCAAACCUGUAAAUCUCUUUUAACUUGAUUGAGAUAGAAAUGUUAAUGAGCCUUGGGCUGUCAAUCAAUAAAGAAAACAUGGAUUCAUAUGUUGUGGCCUAGAAGUUGAGCUUUGGAACAUAAGCUCCAUAUGUAGUUGCUUUAUGAAUGCACUGUGCUGUCAUCCUUUCACUAACAGCACCCACAAACCAAUAUAAUGUAAUGAUGGAAAAUAUUUUAUCUAAGCCUAUUGUGAACUCUGCAGGAGAAAACCACAUUAAAGCUGAUAUUUAUUGGGUUUUAUGCUUCAUAUACUCAAAUCAAUGAAGUGGAAAGGCUAGUAGAAGUGAAAUGCUUAUGAUUAAUCUGUAUUGUGCCUAAAAAUAAGUUUAAAUCUAUGGUUCUUUUAUUCUAUAAUCUGUGUAAUUGUUUUAUAAUAUUAAUUUUGAAAAAGCUUAUAUGUGUUGAUGCUUCUAAAUUUGUAGAUGGUGAUUGAUAUAUAUUUCAGUAAAAUAGUUUUCUAAUUGUAACAUGUAACUGGAAGUUCUUUAUAGUGUUUAUUGUGUUCAGCCUUGAAAAAAUCAUUAAAAAUAUCUUCUCAAAGCUCAAACACAUCAUUUUGUAAUAGUUUAUGUUUAUGAAAAACAGAAAUGGUAAAGUGAAAUUUUUAAAAAUUGAAUAAAACAAACAAUAAAUCAAACC
ensembl:lincRNA